AUUGAACGCUGGCGGCAGGCCUAACACAUGCACGUCGAACGAGUGGCGGACGGGUGAGUGAUGUCUGGGAAACUGCCAGAUGGAGGGGGAUAACUUCUGGAAACGGUAGCUAAUACCGCAUACCAUCGGAUGUGCCCAGAUGGGAUUAGCUAGUCUGUGGGGUAAAGGCUCACCUAGGCGCCGAUCCCUAGCUUGUCUGAGAGGAUGACCAGCCACACUGGAACUGAGACACGGGCCAGACUCCGACGAGAGGCAGCAGUGGGGAAGAGUGCACAAUGGGCGCAAGCCUGAUGCAGCCAUGCCGCGUGUAUGAAGAAGGCCUUCGGGUUGUAAAGUACUUUCAGCGGGGAGGCGUUACCCGCAGAAGAAGCACCGGCUAACUCCGUGCCAGCCGCCGCGGUAAUAC
rnacentral:rRNA from 1 species